rnacentral:lncRNA from 1 species
UUGUAAACAUGCUGUGGUCUCCCUCUCUUAACACGCAGGUCACCCCUUAAGUCUCGUCUCCUGGGGACUAAUAUUCUAAGUCUCAGAAGAGAGAGGCUCCGGGCAGAGAAGAAAGAUGAGUGACCUCUCCAAAUGAUGGAUCUCAGUCUCCCCAUCUGUGCAACAAGGACCUUCAGUUGGAUGACGUCCCAGGUUAAAGAGGAAAGGGUGGGGCUCCCACAAGCCGGCUCCUCGCGUCUGUGACGAGAGAUCCCGCUUCCACCUUUAUCUGCAGCCGGUCGAGCCGCCGAGGCCAGUGGCAAGCCUGUAGUAGGACUUAAAAUGGCUUGGCAGCAAAUGUCAGAGCUGUUUGAUCUGCUUUUAGAAAAUCACCUUUCGAGGCCCUCGAAGAUACUUGACACUUUGCAAAGAGAUUAAAAACUUUUCAGCUGACUUGGAAAAAGAGACCAAGUGGGUUUGAUUCCCUGGGAAGCAGGAGGGGGGCUCCGGCUAUGCCCAGGGCCAGGGAGUCUGAAGCCUGUGGCCUCGCUUUAAAGCGAAGAGCCAGCUCCCAGCAUGGCUGC